UACGUAGGGUGCAAGCGUUGUCCGGAAUUAUUGGGCGUAAAGAGCUCGUAGGCGGUCUGUCGCGUCGGCUGUGAAAACCCGAGGCUCAACCUCGGGCCUUCAGUCGAUACGGGCAAACUAGAGUACUGCAGGGGAGACUGGAAUUCCUGGUGUAGCGGUGAAAUGCGCAGAUAUCAGGAGGAACACCGGUGGCGAAGGCGGGUCUCUGGGCAGUAACUGACGCUGAGGAGCGAAAGCGUGGGGAGCGAACAGG
rnacentral:rRNA from 1 species